rnacentral:rRNA from 1 species
GAUGAACGCUGGCGGCGUGCCUAAUACAUGCAAGUCGAGCGAACGGACGAGAAGCUUGCUUCUCUGAUGUUAGCGGCGGACGGGUGAGUAACACAUGGAUAACCUACCUAUAAGACUGGGAUAACUUCGGGAAACCGGAGCUAAUACCGGAUGAUAUUUUGAACCGCAUGGUUCAAAAGUGAAAGACGGUCUUGCUGUCACUUAUAGAUGGAUCCGCGCUGCAUUAGCUAGUUGGUAAGGUAACGGCUUACCAAGGCAACGAUGCAUAGCCGACCUGAGAGGGUGAUCGGCCACACUGGAACUGAGACACGGUCCAGACUCCUACGGGAGGCAGCAGUAGGGAAUCUUCCGCAAUGGGCGAAAGCCUGACGGAGCAACGCCGCGUGAGUGAUGAAGGUCUUCGGAUCGUAAAACUCUGUUAUUAGGGAAGAACAUAUGUGUAAGUAACUGUGCACAUCUUGACGGUACCUAAUCAGAAAGCCACGGCUAACUACGUG